GCACCCAGUGCCAGCUCUUCUGCACCCAGUGCCAGCUCUUCUGCACCCAGUGCCAGCUCUUCACUGCAAAUGAUGAAAUAUAAGUGUUUUGCAGCCAAAGCCAGCUCCUCUGCAGCCAAAUCCACCUCCUCACUGCAAAUGAUGAUAUACUGUAUAAGUAUUCUACAGCCAAAGCCGGCCGCUCUGAGUCCAUGACCUAUUCAACAGAAGUAUUUUCUGUCAAAAUUUUGAAAAGAAGAUGCUUAGAUCGCUUAAGACUUCAUUUAUAGCCCAGAAACGCCAAAAAACAGAAGAAAAUUAGAUUUUGAAUGAUAAAUAGCCUUUUGAGUUGCACUAAGAUUGUUAUACAGUACAGUAUUACGCUACAAUAGUUUUCUAACAUAUGUGCAUUUAUUGGUUUGAUGCACUUUUGUGUUUUUUAUGUUCUCUAAUUGAUACAAAUGCCUAUUUAAGUUAGCAAAUUUUUCUGUUUUUGUAAAAGCACCUAAGAAUGUUUGUACAUUUCAGAGUGAGCAAUGUUGAGUGCACUUUAUGUACAUCAUACAGUCACUGGUGAAGAUGCUGAAAAGCAAAGAUGGUGUAUCUAAACUUUUUAACUGGGUUAUUUUUAUUGUGUUGUGAACUUUCUGUACAAAUUUUUCAAGUGAAAUAACUUGUUAGGGCAGGGAUAAAUGAAAAAAGUAUAUAUAUAUAUGAUUAAAACUGUAGGAUUAAAACUGUAUUCUGCAGAGAUAUACAAUAAAGUUCAUAUAUACAGUAGAAGUCUCAAAUUCACAAGGCCACAAUUUAUUCACAUGAACACAGAUUAUUGGGAUUUAGUGACAAAAGAAAUACAAUGUUAUUUCUAUGCUUCAAAAGCAUUUCCUUAUUUAUUUAUUGAAUGUUUCAUUGCAAUAAAUAAACAUUGAACUAUAGACCCCUUCAAGGUUUGUAAACAUUGAAUGACUAUCGGGUUCGUGCGGAGCAUGGGGUCAAACUGUUCAUAAAAUUUCGGCUUUCUGGUUUAAUCUAACAGGGCUGAAAAAUGAUGAGUUACCUGAAAUGAAGUGAGCACCACAAAUACAAGCCUCUUUGAUGUUUGCAUUGUCCCAUUCUGCACGUUUAAUUGCAGUUUUUUUUUUUUUUUUGAGAUUCUGCAGGAAUCCCGAAAAACUUAACGGCAGACCUGGUGCGAUUUUCAAAGCCCACGACGCAAGUAGGCAUUUUUGACGAUACCAAAUAAUACGCAACUCAAUCUGCUGUAAUGACUUUUCUGACCCCGACAUGCGCAGUGGGAACCGCCUGUGACAUGAACUGUGAAGGGGUCUAUAAGUUCUUGAAAGUUCAAGAUCUUAAAAACCACCAAAAAAACAACAACAUAAUAAAAAGUAUGCUUAAAAUGUGAUCUCAUUUUGGAAAAUCUUACACAACCCAAAGUUUCCCAACCUACACUAUUAUUUGACCGAUAC